ensembl:lncRNA
UCCACUGUCCCUUGCCACACUCGAUACAUUUUUGCCGGCUCCUACUGUUAGCAGCAUUAUGCAUUUUUUUUCCAGUUGUCUUGAGUGCGCAGGUUAGUGUGUGUCUGUCUGCAUGCGCGUGUUUGUGUCAGUUUUGCCUUGGUGUGUAUGCAAUGAUGUGUUGACCAGCGUCUACAGAUAUACUUUGCAUCUAAGCACGGCAGGUGACUCGUUGUUUACGUUUUUCGAAAGCCUGACCACCGUUCCCGCUCGUCAUAUUCAGAGAAUGAUAUGCUUUCGCCAAAAGCCCAGGACAACAAGGAAUACUUGGGGCAUCUUUUUCCUUAUACCUCGAAAUCCACCAAAACUGAGGGAAAAUGCUAGUGACUGUUUUAAGCAGCUUUGUGGCCUGCACUGUCGCAUAGGCUUCACGGGGAGCCAGGCUUCCUGCAGCUACGCCUUCAUUCAUCACCUUGCUUUCAAUGGCCGCCGCGCCGCCUCUAGGCUAGCGGACCAGGUAGGGUGCCGUGCUAGCACAAUGUAGGGGGAUUAGUAUCAAAGUAGCUCGGGCGAGGCCCCGCGUCCCGGGCCGCCAUUCAGCCCUAGUAUGGGAGCCAUAGCUGAGAAGCGCUGUGGGGAGCAGCCAAGGUCACCAUGGAGGGAGACUGGGAAAGGAACCCUGGGAACCAGCCAUCUCCCCCUGCUAAUCAGAGAGCUAGCCAAGCUAGCAGCACAGCAGGUGUCUCGCCCGCUAAAUGUACAUCUGUUUGGACCGCGGAUAGCGUGGCUGACAACGAGAUAAUGCCCCAUGGCUUUACUUUUUCCUUUCUCUCUUCUUUCUCUACUCUCCUUUUCUCGUUCUUUCUUCUUUUUUUGUUUAGCUCCUUUGCUUUAUUUGUCUUGGUUUCCUUGGGGUUUUCUUUCUUUCUCAUCUUCUACCGAAACCCCAAAUGUAUGCUUACUUACAGAUUAAUGCAUUCUAACCGAAUGCUUUGCACUUGACUGGAAAUCAGUCCCAAGUUAUUAAAGAGAGAUUUGGUGGGAGAGUGAAAGGUUAGGGAGGAUCCCAGCAUGGGAACACCAAUUUGGGGGGGGGGUAUAGAGACUGAAGAAGAGGGACUUUUUUCAAGUUUCUUUCUAACACAACAUACAGCCACUGUAAUGGUUCCAUGGAUAUUAUAAGCGCUAUUGAAUAAUCCCCUGUAUUAUAACCAAAUUCAAUGAUGAAAUCUCAUAGAGAGAACUGGGUUACAGGUGAAAGGAGCUGGUUGUGGAGUUUUGGCUCCUUCUUUUCUCCACCGAGUGAUUGAAGCGUAUAUUAAUGAUUAUAGGCAUCAUUUUAAGCCGAUUGGGCAUCCUGGGGAGCGAGGAAUAGGACUAAGGAACCCCGAUGGGACAUCUGCUGGCUUCAGACCCAGUAGCACAUUGGCCUGGUAACUCUCAAAGAGCAGACCGACCAAGAAAUUAGCAACGAGGUUGGGAAAGAAAACAAGAAAUGAGGUAACGAUGAUGUAGAAAAUAAACUACCGUUGACGUCUUCCGUUCUGAGUCAAGAAGGCAGCCAUGUUUUUUUUCACCCCUCCACCCCUGUUGGGGAUAUUGGCACGUUGUCAUGACGACAGGGAUGUUCUGCUGAUGAAGUCUCGCUCCUCGUUGUCCAAUCAGAUCGUGGAGUCUAAAACUGCAGUAUGAAACAGGAGAGGACGCACCUAUUCCAAUUGCACAAUGCCGAGAAGGACAGCCCGAUCCUGGACCACCUACGGGCGAAAUGGACGAUUUGUGGGAGGCAGUCAACGGAGCCGCCAUGGUUCAACAAAGCACAACCCAGCGGGGGACGAGGAUGAAGGGCUGCCAGGCUAUGGCACAAAGGACCACUCUAAUGUUGACCCAUGGAAAGGAGCUGUCAGGAGAUUGGAAGCGGUCUAGUGUGGGCCAAUGGGAAUGGGAUCUGUCUGGAGAGGCUUGUCAAGGAACCAGGCUUGCGUCUGGAUGGCAAUGGGACAAGGGGACAUCUGGACCAGUCGAAUACUGACUUUUUCUGUCCAGACCAACACCAGUCAUCUUAAAAGCCCACCCCUUCUCCCCGUGUCAUCGAUGGCCAUCCGGCAUACACAGUGAGAUGCCUCCUGAGUGUUCGACCACGUGGCAGGGGUUUCCAGUACCUGGUUGACUGGGAGGGUUAUGGACCGGACGAGAGGUGCUGGGCUUUGUAUGCAUUGCGGAAGUUAGAGUAGCAGUGAUCAAGUGUAUUACCCCAGUGAGUACUGUAAUCAAUAUGCUGAUAGAAUUUAGGUAGCCUUGUUCUCAAAUUUGCUUUGACAAAAUUCCCAGCCACAAUAAAUGCAGCCUCAGGAUAUAUGGUUUCCAGUUUACAUAGAGUCCAGUGAAGUUCCUUGAGGGCCGUUGUGGUGUCUGCUUGAGGGGGAAUGUACACAGCUGUGAUGAUAACCAACGAGAAUUCUCUUGGGAGGUAAUAUGGUCGGCAUUUGGCUGUAAGGAAUUCUAGGUUGGGUGAGCAGAAGGACUUGAGUUCCUGGAUGUUGUUAUGAUUACACCAUGAGUCGUUAAUCAUGAAGCAUACACAGAGAGGUGUUCAUCUCUGUCAGCGCGAUGCAUGGAGAAGCCCGGUGGCUAAACCGAUUCCGACAACAUAUCCGAGAGAGCCAUGUUUCCGUGAAACAGAGAAUGUUACAAUCUCUGGUGUCUUUCUGGAAGGCAACCCAUGCUUGAAUUUCGCCUGCCUUCUUGUCAAGAGACUGGACAUUGGCGAGUAGUAUACUCAGGAGCGGUGAGCGAUGUGCAUGUCUACGGAGCCUGACCAGGAGGCAUCUCUGUCUGCACCGUUGUUCUGAGUCGGCUUCUGGGAUUAGAUCCAUUGUCCUGGGUGGUAGUCUAAACAGAGGAUCCACUUCGGGAAAGUCGUAUUCCUGGUCGUAAUGUUGGUAAGUUGACGUUGCUCUUAUAUCCAAUAGUUCUUCCCGGCAGUAUGUA